rnacentral:sRNA from 1 species
GGCAGAUCUGAAUGUAUCUGUGAUGGCUGAAUUCCAACAUUUGUUGCAGCAGAAAGCCACGUCAUUUCAUGAGCGAGUCUUAGCUUGGAUGCUUGCACGAGAUGGAUAUUCCGCAUCGUGACCCCUUUCCACAAAAUAUCAUGGGGUCGAGCAAUAGAUGUACAGUACGUUUCUUGUUGAUUUCAACUCAACAAGGUUGUAAAUAUCACAGUCUUCUUUAUUUGGCACAAAAAGAAAGACUUUGAGAAAUUUAAGAAAGGUCAGGACAGGAGCAGUGGUUUGAGCUCCGCUUGUUUCGUCUUCAGAAUUUGAAUCGACACGAAGAAUUGACAUUUGGUUCUGCUUAAGCAAGGAAGAAGCGUUUGGGUGCGCUAUAGAUUCCUGGGAAACUGAAUUUACCCAGUCGUCAAGUGAAAGGCUUCGAUCAUCUCCGCAGAUGUACAUGUACAUAUUGUUUGGUUGCUUGAAGGUGCUUUACGAAGUGCACGUCCGACUUCAAUACUGUUUGCAAGGGCUAUUUACUGUGAGGAGAUUCAGCAAAUUCAUUGUGGGUGC